GAUGAACGCUGGCGGCGUGCCUAAUACAUGCAAGUCGAGCGAACGGACGAGAAGCUUGCUUUUCUGAUGUUAGCGGCGGACGGGUGAGUAACACGUGGAUAACCUACCUAUAAGACUGGGAUAACUUCGGGAAACCGGAGCUAAUACCGGAUAAUAUUUUGAACCGCAUGGUUCAAAAGUGAAAGACGGUCUUGCUGUCACUUAUAGAUGGAUCCGCGCUGCAUUAGCUAGUUGGUAAGGUAACGGCUUACCAAGGCAACGAUGCAUAGCCGACCUGAGAGGGUGAACGGCCACACUGGAACUGGGACACGGGCCAGACUCCUACGGGAGGCAGCAGUAGGGAAACUUCCGAAAUGGGCGAAAGCCUGACGGAGCAACGCCGCGUGAGUGAAGAAGGUCUUCGGAUCGUAAAACUCUGUUAUUAGGGAAGAACAUAUGUGUAAGUAACUGUGCACAGCUUGACGGUACCUAAUAAGAAAGCCACGGCUAACUACGUG
rnacentral:rRNA from 1 species